rnacentral:rRNA from 1 species
GAGUUCUGGGCCGCACGCGCGUUACACUGACGGAGCCAGCGAGUACUUCCUUGGCCGAAAGGCCCGGGUAAUCUUGUUAAACUCCGUCGUGCUGGGGAUAGAGCAUUGCAAUUAUUGCUCUUCAACGAGGAAUCCCUAGUAAGCGUAAGUCAUCAACUUGCGCUGAUUACGUCCCUGCCCUUUGUACACACCGCCCGUCGCUACUACCGAUUGAAUGGCUCAGUGAGGCUUUCGGACUGGCCUAGAGAGGUGGGCAACUACCACUCGGGGCCGGAAAGUUAUCCAAACUCGGUCAUUUAGAGGAAGUAAAAGUCGUAACAAGGUCUCCGUUGGUGAACCAGCGGAGGGAUCAUUACAAGUAGAGUUUACGAACUCUUAAACCCUUUGUGAACCUUACCUAUCGUCAGUUGCUUCGGCGGGAGGCCCCUGGGAGGGGCCCCGGGGCCCGGCCUGAGCCGGGCUCCCGCCGGAGGACGCAAACCAAACUCUUGCUGUACCUCAGUGGAACAUCCGAGUUAAAACAAAAAAAACAAGUUAAAACUUUCAACAACGGAUCUCUUGGUUCUGGCAUC